GACAAUGAUAUAAACUCUAUUGAUUGAAUGAUUGUUGCUUGCAAUGUUUGGAUAUAGCAAUGAAUACAGAUAUGUUAUAUGUGAUUAUGAUGAAUGAAGAUUGAUAUUUGAUAUGAGAAUAAAGGACUAUACAGAUGAUUGAAGAUGAUGUCUGAAGAUGUUGAACAGAUUAAGAAUCGAGGAUUGAUGAAGUGCUGGAACAGAUUGGUGUCACGAAAAUCCCAGAUUGAGUGAUGCCAAGACAGAUUUGAAGAUGCAGAUUUAGCAGACCAGGAAACCAGAUUGAAGCAGAUUGGUAAGAGUUAAAUCUAAAUCAAGGAAUGAAAUAGACCAAAACUUGUAACUUGUGUCGUGUAUUGAAGUUGUAUUUAUAGGUGGAUUUGAUGAGAGAUUAACGGUUAAAAAAGUAUUAAUUAGGAUAGUUGGGUUGAUGGUGAUUAGGUGGUAUUAACUAUGUGUUUGGGUAUAUUGGUAAAAAGAGGAAUUGAUGGGGUUUUUUAUAUAUAGUAUCUUAAUAUUCCUGCUAUCGUGAUCACCUACAGUAAAUAUCAUUUUAUAUACAUACACAUAUAUUUCAAUGCUACUACAUAUUUACCUGUAAAUACAUGAUAGAUAGACCUGCUAUUGUAAUAGAAUUAUAGUAAUUAACAUUUGCAACCAUUUAAAUAUAUACAUAUAUAAAACCACAAAGUUAAUCUGUUAUCUAAUUCUAACAACUAGCUAGCUAUUUCUUCUAUUUAUCAAGGAAGAUUGCAUCAGUGAUUUCCAUCUUCAUGGGGAAAUCGACGAGUAAAAAGGAAAGACCAUUCUAUAUAUGCGACUUUCUCGUUGAAUUAUUCACUUUCUGAUGAAGGAGAAAUUUCGGGCCUUGUGAAGGUAAUUAUUAGUUCAGAGAGCUAACUUUGGAGGUUUCGACGGAAAGCAAACGAAAUCUUAAUUGCCGUGUAUGGUAAAGAUAAGUGCAUGAUCUUGU
rnacentral:lncRNA from 1 species